rnacentral:rRNA from 1 species
UACAGGGGGGGCAAGCGUUGUUCGGAAUUACGUGGCGUAAAGGGCUCGUAGGCGGCCAACUAAGUCACACGUGAAAUCCCCAGGCUUAACCUGGGAACUGCGUGUGAUACUGGAUGGCUUGAAUUCGGGAGAGGGAUGCAGAAUUCCAGGUGUAGCGGUGAAAUGCGUAGAUAUCGGGAGGAACACCAGUGGCGAAGGCGACUACCUGGCCUGUUCUUGACGCUGAGGCGCGAAAGCUAGGGGAGCAAACGGG